rnacentral:lncRNA from 1 species
AAUACUUAAUGUUUCUCUGUAAGACUUGCCCUAUUUUGCUGAAAACUAUUACACUUUUUUGCAGGAAAUAUGUGAUGAAAUUCUAUAAUUUACACCAUUGAAGAGAACUGUACUGGUUUUUUUCAAAUAGGCAUGAAUCCAUGAAGUGUAGUGCUUUUUAAAAGCCAUAAAAAUUGAAUUUAUCUGCUUCACUCUUUUAAUUGCUGGUCCAGGUGAUCUAAAAAUAUUACUAAAAUGAAGUCAAGAUGACAUUCUUUUUCCGAGUAGGUGUGUCUUAAUAUCAGCGGCUCUUUCAUUUCAGGUUAUUUAUUUAUAACGACAACUUCUCAGUGAUGUUCUUUUGAGCUUGUAAAGACAUUCAGCUUUGGAUCUUCCCGUCCGAUGCUCGAUUUAGACCGCUUGCUGACAAAGAGACGAGAGCGAAAUCCAGAGCAGUAAAAUGGAGACAUUUAGCAGCUCUGGGGGCAGGCAGCCGGUGUGAGGAAGGGUGAAGUCUGUGUGCUCAGAGUAACCCUGACAUAAGGCGAGGGCAGUGUUUCCUUUGUGCAUUGCUGCCAUCUGCUGCAUUUCAUCAGCAGGCUCGUGGAGCCGGGCUUUUUCCUUCAUCACACUCGGAACCGAAAGGAGAAGGAGCCCCACAGAUUCCGUCUCUCCGCAGCAGUUUCGGAGCAGCCUGAAUCCUUUUGACUUCGGAAGGAGACACCUCUCAUUCUUUAUAUUGGCAGGUGUGAAGACAAUGUGAAGGUGCUCAUGGAAUUGUGUGUCUUCUAGCACUCCUCAAACCCUCCUAGGAAUGUUGCUUACAGUGUGUGUUGAAAUGUCAAAUUAAGUAAUUCUAGUGAAUGCCUAUACCCCUGUCACUAACAUUAGAUUUUUAACUGUAUCACACUGUACUUGAAGCACAUUGUAGAAUCUUUGCCACCUUCUUUUCAGUCUGUAAAAAUUAAUUAGAAGUGACCUUACGGAAGUACUCCUAAAGGUUCUUGUAGCAGCAUUAACCCUGACUUAACGUCAAGUAUUUUGACUGUGUGUUAAGUCUCUAGAGACACAGCUAAACACAGAGAGAGUGGGUGACAAGACAGAAAAAAGUCAGAAUUCAACAGGGCCAGUCAGAAGAGCAGCUGUUCUCAGCAACAAAAUUAACACAAGCCACCUAAAGAAAUCCUCCUGAGCUCCUAUCAAAAAACCCCUGCCACAGUGGGUCUCCACUCCAGAUGAGCUCUUCUGGAACACAUAGCAAAGCUCCAGCCUGUAUUUUUAAAUGUACAUUCAAAGAGGUGCUAUAGAAGAUGACACAUACCCCAAAAUUUAGCCCUGAAGCCUAGCUCAUAUUGCUGGCUAUCUAAUUAGUGUGAUAAAAUAAUACCAAAUUUGAGACCUGGGGAUGUGGCUGGAAGGAGGUUUUAAGGUUACCAUUUUCUGCCAGGGUUUACAAAUAUUUGGGUUUUUUUCCAUGGUAAGGGAUUAUUAGAUUCAAAGAUUUAAUCCCUUGUGAAUCUCUGCAAUAGGUAAAAGAUGUGUCUGUGAAGGUAAGUAGGGCCCUGUUGUAAAACAAUAGACAUGGAAAAAGGGGUAUGAAAACUCAAGGAAAACACACAGUCCCUCUAAAGAGGGAAAAGAGAUAACUUCCAAUGAUGUUCACUGGCUGGACCCACUGUAACAAUGGCACACAAGCACUGAAAGACAGCUGAGACUGGCCCAAUUUUGCAACUUUUUGAAGAAAAUAAAUUCCAUGAAAAACCUACA